rnacentral:rRNA from 1 species
UACGGAGGGUGCAAGCAUUAAUCGGAAUUAUUGGGCGUAAAGGGCGCGUAGGCGGAAGAACAAGUCAGAUGUGAAAUACCAAAGCUCAACUUUGGUGCUGCAUUUGAAACUGUUUUUCUAGAGGGUUGACGGAGAAAACGGAAUUCCACGUGUAGCGGUGAAAUGCGUAGAUAUGUGGAAGAACACCAGUGGCGAAAGCGGUUUUCUAGUUUAUACCUGACGCUGAGGCGCGAGAGCAAGGGGAGCAAACAGG